rnacentral:rRNA from 1 species
UAGAUACCCUGGUAGUCCAUGCCGUAAACGUUGGGCACUAGGUGUGGGGGACAUUCCACGUUCUCCGCGCCGUAGCUAACGCAUUAAGUGCCCCGCCUGGGGAGUACGGCCGCAAGGCUAAAACUCAAAGGAAUUGACGGGGGCCCGCACAAGCGGCGGAGCAUGCGGAUUAAUUCGAUGCAACGCGAAGAACCUUACCAAGGCUUGACAUGCACCGGACAGCCCCAGAGAUGGGGUCUUCUUCGGACUG